rnacentral:rRNA from 1 species
UACGUAGGGUGCGAGCGUUAAUCGGAAUUACUGGGCGUAAAGCGUGCGCAGGCGGUCCGCAAAGUCUGAUGUGAAAGCCCCGGGCUCAACCUGGGAAUGGCAAUGGAAACUGGCGGGCUGGAGUAUGGCAGAGGGGGGUGGAAUUCCGCGUGUAGCAGUGAAAUGCGUAGAGAUGCGGAGGAACACCGAUGGCGAAGGCAGCCCCCUGGGCCAAUACUGACGCUCAGGCACGAAAGCGUGGGGAGCAAACAGG